UAGGGAAUCUUCCACAAUGGACGCAAGUCUGAUGGAGCAACGCCGCGUGAGUGAAGAAGGCUUUCGGAUCGUAAAGCUCUGUCGUGGGUGAAGAAGGAUAGAGGCAGUAACUGGUCUUUAUUUGACGGUAAUCAACCAGAAAGUCACGGCUAACUACGUGCCAGCAGCCGCGGUAAUACGUAGGUGGCAAGCGUUGUCCGGAUUUAUUGGGCGUAAAGCGAGCGCAGGCGGAAUGAUAAGUCUGAUGUGAAAGCCCACGGCUCAACCGUGGAACUGCAUCGGAAACUGUCAUUCUUGAGUGCAGAAGAGGAGAGUGGAAUUCCAUGUGUAGCGGUGGAAUGCGUAGAUAUAUGGAAGAACACCAGUGGCGAAGGCGGCUCUCUGGUCUGCAACUGACGCUGAGACUCGAAAGCAUGGGUAGCGAACAGG
rnacentral:rRNA from 1 species